AUUGAACGCUGGCGGCAUGCCUUACACAUGCAAGUCGAACGGUAACGCGGGGCAACCUGGCGACGAGUGGCGAACGGGUGAGUAAUAUAUCGGAACGUGCCCAGUAGUGGGGGAUAGCCCGGCGAAAGCCGGAUUAAUACCGCAUACGACCUACGGGUGAAAGAGGGGGAUCGCAAGACCUCUCGCUAUUGGAGCGGCCGAUAUCAGAUUAGGUAGUUGGUGGGUAAAAGCCUACCAAGCCGACGAUCUGUAGCUGGUCUGAGAGGACGACCAGCCACACUGGGACUGAGACACGGCCCAGACUCCUACGGGAGGCAGCAGUGGGGAAUUUUGGACAAUGGGCGCAAGCCUGAUCCAGCCAUGCCGCGUGCGGGANAGGCCUUGG
rnacentral:rRNA from 1 species